rnacentral:rRNA from 1 species
UUCCGGUUGAUCCCGCCGGGAGGCCAUUGCUAUCGGAGUCCGAAUUUAGCCAUGCUAGUCGAGCGAGGUUAGCCCUCGCGGCGAACAGCUCAGUAACACGUGGCCAAGCUACCCUGCAGAGGGGGACAGCGUCGGGAAACUGACGGGAAUCCCCCAUACCGGUCUCACGCUGGAAUGCCGAGACCGACAAACGCUCCGGCGCUGCAGGAUGCGGCUGCGGCCGAUUAGGUAGUCGGUGGGGUAACGGCCCACCGAGCCGAUAAUUGGUACGGGGUGUGAGAGCACGAGCCCGGAGACGGAAUCUGAGACAAGAUUCCGGGCCCUACGGGGCGCAGCAGGCGCGAAACCUUUACACUGCACGAACGUGCGAUAAGGGGACUCCGAGUGCGAGGGCAUACAGUCCUCGCUAUUGUGUACCGUAGGGUGGUACACGACCAAGAGCUGGGCAAGACCGGUGCCAGCCGCCGCGGUAAUACCGGCAGCUCGAGUGAUGGCCGAUUUUAUUGGGCCUAAAGCGUCCGUAGCUGGCCCUGCAAGUCCGUCGGGAAAUCCACUCGCCUAACGAGUGGGCGUCCGGCGGAAACUACAGGGCUUGGGACCGGAAGACUUGAGGGGUACGUCUGGGGUAGGAGUGAAAUCCUGUAAUCCUGGACGGACCGCCGAUGGCGAAAGCACCUCAAGACGACGGAUCCGACAGUGAGGGACGAAAGCUAGGGUCUCGAACCGGAUUAGAUACCCGGGUAGUCCUAGCCGUAAACGAUGUUCGCUAGAUGUGGCACAGGCUACGUGCCUGUGCUGUGUCGUAGGGAAGCCGAGAAGCGAACCGCCUGGGAAGUACGUCCGCAAGGAUGAAACUUAAAGGAAUUGGCGGGGGAGCACUACAACCGGAGGAGCCUGCGGUUUAAUUGGAUUCAACGCCGGGA